rnacentral:snoRNA from 1 species
GAUCGGUGAAGAACCUAUCCCAAAGCAGAUUGGUUGAUGUAAAACACAUGUGAAUCUGACUUCUGAGUU